AACUGUCAGUCAACCUGUCAGUCAACAGGCAGAGGGCUGCAUUCCUUCGUUCGUAUGUUCCUUGGUUCAUUCAUUCAGGACAGAUAUUUGUUGGGUGCCAACCAUGUGUCAACUCACUCUGCCUUCCUAGAGCUUACAUUCUAAAGGAAGAGACAUAGUCCAAGCCCACAAAUAAGAUAAUUUCAGAUGCUGCUAAGUUUUACAAAAACACAUUUUGUAACACAAGGUGAGGGGACAGAGAGUGAGCAGAGGUGUGGGUUACUUUAGAUAGGGUGGUCAAGGAAGGCCUCGCUUAGGAGGUGACAUUUGAGCUGAUAUUGAAUGAUGACAGAGAGCUGGCCUUGCAAAGAUCCACAGGAAAAGAGUUCCUGGCAGAGGGAACAGCAAGGGCAGAAGGCUCAGGAAACCGUCCAUUUGGAGGUCUGGAAACCGGCACAGAAAUAAACACGGUAGAGCUAGACCAGAGACCAACAAAGUGAAUCUGGAGCUUAGAUGGAGAGAGAAGAGAGAGAUUAAUUGAGGCCCCAGGUACUGCGGAAUGCUUCCCCAGGAGUGGAUGAGGCCGUCUGAAAGGGGACCUCCGAAGUGUUUCUUGAGGAAAUGUGGCUGCAGACCCUAGAAGAAGCUACACAGCACUUGCCAGGGCUGGGAUGAUGUCCAGGCCAUGGAAACACCGUGUACCUGGUCCCAGGAAGAUGAAGUGUGGGCCCAGAGACUAAUGGCUUGAGCAUCUCAGGCUAAGGUUGCCGAGAAGUAGACAGCACCUCUAGAUCCUAGUCAACAUCUCU
rnacentral:lncRNA from 1 species